UCAGUCCUCACUUCUCUCCCCCGCGUCGUGAAGCUAGGGUUUGGAGCCGUCGUCACCACGCCCUCCUCCGCUGAUCGCCCUCCUCCGCCGCUCCCUCUUCCGCCUAUCGCCCUUCGUCUCUCCUGCCGGUCGCCCUCCUCCACCGCACCCUCCUGUACCGGUCACCCCUUGUCUCUCCCAUCGCUCGCCCUCUGUCUCUCCCGCCGCUCGCCCUCCGUCUCUCCUGCCGGUCGCCCUCCUCCGCCGGUGCCAAUGAAUCGCUUCAGACCAAAUACUAUAGUGGAUGGAUGUCAUCCAAUACUCGGAGGAUCUUUGGAAGACCAUAAAGAUAGACAAAUUGACAUUUUUAGGUGUCAAGUUAUGUGAUCGUUGCAAGGUCUACUUUGGGCAAAAUUUAGUCUGCAAGGAAUCUCUAUCAGCAAUGGGGCGAAGGCAGGAUCAUCAAGGUCGGCGAUCCCCUUUAUGUUCUUGAGACAUUCCCUUCUUCAAAUGAAGUUCCAGAAUGAGGAAGGCAUAAUGGCAACUGACAACUGUUUAUAGACUAGGUUGAUUUAUUCAAGGCUUGAGGAAGUGUGUUAUGUGCCAAGAUGAACAGUGAUAUUUGGCACUGAAAACUGCUGUUCAUACCAUACUGUGCAGUUAUACCUUCAUCAGAUAUCUGUUACCUUGAUUGCCUUUAUGAUUGUUGGAAAAUGUUGAUGCUUGAUUACUUGUGUGAAUGCACGGGUGAUGCUUGAUUAUUUAUGUGAUUGCUUUGUGUUGUACUGGAUUGCCAAACCU